ensembl:lncRNA
CGUAAGCAUUCAGCAUAGAACAUAAUGUAAUUUAGAAUUUAAUAUAUUUAGAGAGUAAUGGUGUUACAUUUAAUUUCCAUUUGUUUCCUUCUAAUCAGCAUGUCAGUAUUUAGGAGUGGAGCUGAUGGGGAAUUCCAGCUCGAGUUACGAGCUUCUAUGAUGGAGUGUAAACUUGCUCUGCUUCCUGUUGAGUUUUCUAGCAACAAUAUGAACGCUGGAGUGAUAUAAAAAACCAAACAAAAAAACCAAAUGAAUGCAUCUAUGUGGUAAACUCUAGCCUGUGGCGGUUGAGGAAGCUUUUUCCUCUUUCCCUCGUCCUUGUGUUCCCCUCUCGCUCUCCUGUGCCCUCUUAGUGGUGUCUGUGUUUUAUUCCCCUUGCCCGUUCCCAUGUCCCUCUUAUUGUGUUCCACCCUGUCUCCCCAGUUGAUUGUGUGUUUCACGUCUGCGUGUUCCAUGUCCAAUCAUAGUCUCCAUCUCACUGUGUUUCCUGUUUUACUUUGACAGUCCGUGUCCUGGGUUAGUGUUUUCAGUUUUCCUUCCCAUCUCAUCAGGUCUAAUUUGUGUCAGCUGUGUUCCCCGUGUGCUCCCACCUCCCUCGUUACCCUUCUGUGUAUUUAGGUCUGCUUCUCCUUCUGUCCUGUGUUGUGUUCUCCCUCAUGGCUCUGUGAGUUUAGUUUUCCUUUUUUUUUUUUUUUUUUGUCUGUUUUAGCACUUCUGAGCUUAAUUUUUCAGUUUGCUGUAUGAGAAUAUAAUACUGUGUUAAAAGCCUGUGGGUACAUUACAAAUAAAAGGUGAGCUUUUGUUACAGUGGGGCAAAAAAGUAUUUAGUCAGCCACCGAUUGUGCAAGUUCCCCCACUUAAAAUGAUGACAGAGGUCAGUAAUUUGCACCAGAGGUACACUUCAACUGUGAGAGACAGAAUGUGAAAAAAAAAUCCAUGAAUCCACAUGGUAGGAUUUGUAAAGAAUUUAUUCGUAAAUCAGGGUGGAAAAUAAGUAUUUGG